UGGGGAAUAUUGCACAAUGGGGGAAACCCUGAUGCAGCGACGCCGCGUGAAGGAAGAAGUAUCUCGGUAUGUAAACUUCUAUCAGCAGGGAAGAUAGUGACGGUACCUGACUAAGAAGCCCCGGCUAACUACGUGCC
rnacentral:rRNA from 1 species